AGGGGCGAGACACUGUGGGUCAAGCCCCUUUUUUCCUACCUGAGGGUGUCAUCACCGUGGGGAGACCAUGUGCAGACAGGAGGCAGAGGCUGGCUUUGUGCCCCGAGCUUGGGAUUUAAGGCUCUGGGGUCACUGUCCUAAAAUCCCGAGUAGUUUUAUCUUUGAAUCUGUGUUUUGUAAGCCAAGUCCGCUGGGACGGCGGAGCAUGGGCUGGACGCGUGGAGCCUUCUAGGUGUGGUUCUGCCCCCGGCUGCCACUCUACCUCCCCAGGAGGGGGUCUCAGCUGCCCUGAGUGCUCUGGGCCCCAGCCGGGUCACCGCAGGUCAGUCCCGUGAUUGGCGGGAGAGGACCCCAGCAGCAGCUCAAAACACCACGACAGGUCGAGAAAGACACAAAAGAAAAAAAAAUUAUAUUUUAGUGUUUUUUACAGCACUCUUACCCUGCUUUUCAGACAACGGGCCAUUCAUUUUCAUUGCCCUGGUGCUUGCAGGCUGCGGAGCUGGCCCCGGCUGAGAUGAGAGGCUGGAGGUGGCAGAGGCAAAGGAUGGAAAGACACUGGAGCCUCGACUGGUUGAGCUGUUAAGCCAGGAUGAUGCGUGAGGGCCCCCACCGGCCGGCUGAUUGACAGCACGCGAGACAGCAGCGCAUGCGCACGUGUUGACCCUGACACGUGAGGACCCGCUCGGAUCGCCAAGCAGCAGUUAGCCCGGGACUUUUUACUGACAGCAGUAACGACGUCGUGACCCCUUUUUAAAGGGCCAUCUUACAGAAUUCUGAUGCCGGUAUUACUUUCCUCCCUUUUCAGAUGUGGAGCAUGAGGCUCAGAGAGGUUAAGUGGUUUGCUGAAGGUCACACAGCUCCUAAGCGUUGGAGGCGGAGAUCAGAUCCAUAUUUCCCGGCUAGAAAGAUGGUUUCUACUGAAUCUAUAUCCUGUCCGUAUACAUCUCAGAUGGGACCAAGUUGAGGGUCAUCCUACAGAUUUGUUGAAGACAUGGAAGACAGGGAAAGAGUAAGAAUUCAUCCCAGAUUGGAGGGAACUGGAAAGACAUGAACACAAAAUGCAAGGUGAUAUUUCUCAUGACCAGA